AACUCGAUUAACAGUCGAGUGCGCACUCGACUGUUAAUCGAGUUGUCACAGGUUCGAGUCCUGUUCGGG
rnacentral:tRNA from 1 species